UUAAGAAUUGUACAGGAAAGUAUUACCACUACUAUUGACUGUGUUGCAUCAAUAUUGCCGUUAUGUACAGUACAUAUAAGUUAUGAACGGUGUUGUUUAUGAAUUGUACAGGAAAGGAUUAUCACUACUAUUGGCUGUGUUGCAUCAAUAUUACCGUUAUGUACAGUACAUAUAUUUUAUGAACGGUGUUGUUUAUGAAUUGUACAGGAAAGGAUUAUCACUACUAUUGACUGUGUUGCAUCAAUAUUGCCGUUAUGUACAGUACAUAUAUGUUAUGAACGGUGUUGUUUAUGAAUUGUACAGGAAAGGAUUACCACUACUAUUGGCUGUGUUGCAUCAACAUUGCCGUUAUGUACAAUCUAAUGCUGGUUAUUGGGAGAAGCAUUUUUUGGAACCUGGACAAUAGUUUCCCAGUUGCCUGGUUAGUUCUUGAUUACAGUUCAGAUUCUCUCUAUCUUGCGGAUAUUUUUGUAAGGAUGCAUGAGGGGUUCCUAGAGCAAGGUAUAAUGGUGACUGAACCUUCAAAACUACGACAAAAAUAUUAUAAAUCCAAG